GCCGAGGUGGCGGAAUUGGCAGACGCGCAUGGUUGAGGGCCAUGUGGACCUUUACGUCCGUGCGGGUUCAAGUCCCGCCCUCGGCA
rnacentral:tRNA from 1 species